ACAAAUAUGAAGGCGGGCUGGAACCUCUCGGGGUUACAGCCUUGCUGAAUUAUUCACCCUUGUCUUUUGCGUACUUCUUGUUUCCUUGGUGGGUUCGCCCACCACUAGGACAAACAUAAACCUUUUGUAAUUGCAAUCAGCGUCAGUAACAAAUUAAUAAUUACAACUUUCAACAACGGAUCUCUUGGUUCUGGCAUCGAUGAAGAACGCAGCGAAAUGCGAUAAGUAGUGUGAAUUGCAGAAUUCAGUGAAUCAUCGAAUCUUUGAACGCACAUUGCGCCCUUUGGUAUUCCAAAGGGCAUGCCUGUUCGAGCGUCAUUUGUACCCUCAAGCUUUGCUUGGUGUUGGGCGUCUUGUCUCUAGCUUUGCUGGAGACUCGCCUUAAAGUAAUUGGCAGCCGGCCUACUGGUUUCGGAGCGCAGCACAAGUCGCACUCUCUAUCAGCAAAGGUCUAGCAUCCAUUAAGCCUUUUUUCAACUUUUGACCUCGGAUCAGGUAGGGAUACCCGCUGAACUUAAGCAUAUCA
rnacentral:misc_RNA from 1 species